UACGUAGGGUGCGAGCGUUAAUCGGAAUUACUGGGCGUAAAGCGUGCGCAGGCGGUUUUGUAAGCCAGAUGUGAAAGCCCCGGGCUUAACCUGGGAAUGGCAUUUGGGACUGCAAGGCUUGAGUGCGGCAGAGGAGACUGGAAUUCCCGGUGUAGCAGUGAAAUGCGUAGAUAUCGGGAGGAAUACCGAUGGCGAAGGCGACUACCUGGCCUGUUCUUGACGCUGAGGCGCGAAAGCUAGGGGAGCAAACGGG
rnacentral:rRNA from 1 species